UACGAGGGGGGCGAGCGUUGUUCGGAAUUAUUGGGCGUAAAGGGCGCGUAGGCGGUUGGGUAAGUCUUGUGUGAAAUCUUCGGGCUCAACUCGAAGUCUGCACGAGAAACUAUCUGGCUUGAGUGUGGGAGAGGUGAGUGGAAUUCCUGGUGUAGCGGUGAAAUGCGUAGAUAUCAGGAGGAACACCGGUGGCGAAAGCGGCUCACUGGACCACAACUGACGCUGAGGCGCGAAAGCCAGGGGAGCAAACGGG
rnacentral:rRNA from 1 species